UGGCUGUUCCAUCCUCCUCCCCCUUGCUGGGCCUUGCCUCCUUGUUCCCCGCCUGUUGGCCGCCUCCGUCCGUCGUCGCCGCUGCCGGGUGCCGGUAUUCCUUGCUUCAUUGGCAUAUGGCAGCCACCCGCUCUCUGCCACUCAGCCUCGGGGACAUGCUGCCGUGUGCCGAGCACUGCAGCUCAAUGCCAGGUGGAUGGAUCGCACGCCACGCCGCGGCCCCCACAAUACUGCUGUGAUCCUUCCUUUCCCACGCCCUCAAUGUGUUCGACGAAUUGCCGGGCUCACUCAGAUGAUAGAUGCUAUACCCACCCUCCUCUACAUGUGUAGAGGAAGGCACAUGGCGACACCAAACGAGUAGGAUGUGCAGAUGGAGAGUGUUAUUCAUGCAGAUUACUUAGCGGUUCUCCCUGGCUUGCUUCUAGGAUGGCACGGAGACAGGACGCGACUUCAGUGAACGAAGGUCGUCUCUCAGGCUCAGUUGACCAGCACUGCUCCAUCAGUUUCCUCCACUCUUGGGGACACGAAGCUGGAACUGGUGGCCGCAGUGUGUUGCUCAAAAUACCCCCUUCAAAUCCCCAUCAGCAAUCACUAUUACUGGAAUAGAUAAAAAAGCAUCAAUGCAUCUAGAUUUGAGAUGAAACAAAAUUUAUGACAAUGAAUUGCAACUUACCUUGCAAAUGGGACGAGACGGAUCCUUAACAUUUACUAGCAAGUUAUCACAUUUCAAAUCAAAAUGGACAAUAUCCUUGGAGUGCAAGUACUCCAUGCCAAUGGCUGCAUCCAUUGCAAGCAUGAUCCGUUUGCGCCAAUCAAGAUAUUUGUCUUUGCGAAGGAGGACUUUCUUGAGAGAUCCAUUGACCAUGAAUUCUGUCACAGUAGCUAAUGUUGCUCCAGGUCCAUUAUUUACAACUCCAUAAAGUGCCAGAAUAUUUGGGUGGUGAAGUUUUGAGAUGAUUGCUGCUUCUCUCCAAAAUUCUGUAAGCUGCAUGUUUACACGUGUUGAGUUUGUAAUGAUGCAAAAUUCCAUGCCUUAUUUUGAUCAGUAUUUAAUUUAGAGUGAUUGCUAGUUUUUAUAUAGAAUCUCUGAUUCUGAAAUCUGUAUCAAAUUAAUAUUCUGUGGCCGCUAAAGACUUCAGUUGUUGCGUUGAUGCCAUAGUAACUUAUGUCUGGGGCCAAACAUAUCAGCUGACUGCUUGGCCUCUGUAAAGAUGCCAAUAAUCUGCAAGCUUAGGUUGUUUGAACUAGAGCUUGAAUGAUCUUAUUUCUCGGUUAAUAUGAAAUAUCAGCGAAUGGCUUUUCUUAAUGGUAACAUGAUACACAGCAGAAUUGUGAGGAUGUUUUGUUACCCAGAGUACAAAGCUAUAACUUAAACCUCCUAAACUGACAAAUUACUGAAAUCGGUCCCAUCUGGGGUGACCAUGGACAAGGAACACCUUGGCUGUGACUUAAAAAAAUGCUGGUGAAAUUAUAUAGGCUUACCAGCUUAUCUGCUUGAGAUGAUGGUAACAUAAAGCAGCUGUUCUUUAUCCGUUUAAUAGCAACAUCUGUUCCCUUCCAUUUUCCAUGGAAAACUGUUCCGAAUGCACCAGAACCCAUCUCACGGAGAUCUUCGAGGUCCUCGUUGCUUAUUAAAUACUAUAUAUUCACAAUUAUAGGAUAAGUACUGCAUAAUUUAAUGAGAAACAUAGGGAUAUUCGCUGAUAAAUCCACAUAGGGAUAUUCGCUGAUAAAUCCUUUCUUUUGGAUACGCCCAUUUUAAUCUAAUGUUACAAAUAGAUUGUCUUUUUUACUUGUUUCUUUCUAUUUAUUGGUUAUUUAUCAUGUCAGUGCAGUUUAAGCUUCAAGUAGCUUUGUUACAGAAUACUGAAGUCAAUCACAAACCUGGACGUUACUUGUAAGACCCCUGCCUAAUGCUACAGUUUCAGGAAGACCCUGUUCACUGUUCUUGGUUUCAUGUUCCUACCAGAAAAAGAUUAUGCAGAAGUUAUGCUGUGAGGUGAAAGAAAAUUAAAGUAAGCAUAUGAACUAUGAAACAAGGUGCGGUGAGGUACUUCAAGCUCUGAGAUCAAUUGCACAAUGCUAUCUUUAACAUCUUGAGAUGGAAUUAUGCUCUGAGGACUAUUUCUAUCAGCACCGACUGAUCGAGAUUUUAUCAUUUUCGAUGAUUCAUCUGACCUUGGACUGCUGGAUCGCUCUUGUUGUCUCUCACUUGAAGGACGCACUAGAGUAUGUGGUUUCAGCUCAGUUGUCUUAUCUGAAGAUGUAAAAGAGCUAGAAAGUAUUGUUUCUUCGCUAUUGCUGGACAGCUUUGAAGCAUGACCUUUCUUUAAAGUGUUACCACCCGUGAUAGAAACUGCUGGCUGUUGCUUUGUCCUGCUAUUGGUUGCAACUGACUUCUCAAGAGUAUGCUGGUUUGAACUGAUGCACAUAUCAUCAUGGCCUUGCAUGGGAGAUGCAGACUCAGAACCAUGUGCGGGCAUCUCCAUCUUAUUUUGCAAUUGGUAGUUCUUGUUCUUCAUUGGUGGUUCUUGUGCUAAAUGAGACAUAGCUUCUUCUUGGCUGUUGUGCCUUCCUGGUUUCUUGUUAUUGUUAGAGCCUGUUUGUUGAUUUGCUGUUUUCUCGGGACCCCUUGAUAAAGGUGCAGGCACUUCAUAUGCGGCUCGACCUGUGUGUGGUGCUGGACUGUUGUUGUUUGAAUUGGACCACAAUUGAUUCACAUUGCUGUUCUCCAGUGGUACCAGCAUCUCUUUUCUUGGCGGUCCUUUUUCCUGAGCCCCAGAAACUUGAUGGCCUUUUUUAUUAUGAUUGUAGUAGUUUGCUGCAGUUCUGGCUGAUGCCUUGAGACACCCUGAUUACUACCGCCCCCACUCUGAACUCCAUGUAUGGAUUCAGAUGGCACAGAUGGACUAAAGUGAACACCACUUAUCUUUCUACCAGAGGUGAUCAGGUUGCCUUCACUGUUUUGUGCCUUGUCUUUCUUGGCCAUCCGUGUUAAGAAAUUUGGAGUUGGAAGUGUCUUCUCCAGUGGCCCACUUGAUGUUUUUGGCGGUUCUACAACGACUCUUUGUGAGGACUUAGCUUUGAUAUACUGUGAAUCUUCCUCUUCCGUGCCUGCUGGCAGCCUAUCCUCUUUGGUACCAAUCAUUACCUGAUCUAGAUCAUUAGUUGAGGUGCUGCCAAGGCUUUGCAUUCUUGAUGCCACGGUUGGUCUGGUGAGUCCAUUGAUGAGAGCAAUGAACUGCGCUUCCUUUUCUGCAUCGGAUGAGCGUGCAACAAGGAAGUGCACAUUGUGGUCAUCAUCUUUAGCAGAGAAAAGGUACAUGGUCAGCCUUUCUCUGUUUGCUUCUAGCACAAUGCACUCAUCAAUCAUAUUACGAAGGUCAUCAUCAGAGGUGAUGGAGAUUAGCAUGUUCAGUUGCUCGCCUGGGAGAUGGUACUUGAUUGUGUGAUCCCGCCUUAUUAGCUUUGUUGUUUUGCAGGUCAGCUCAUGCCAUGACAUGUCCCGGUUAAUCUGAACCAGAUGCCUCUCACCGCCAACAUAGCAGAGCUCUCCGUCACUUGGCCUUGGUAAGAAUGUGCCGCCAAAGUUGCAAAUAAACUUUAUCUUCCUUGGUUGAACUUGAUAAGGGUUUGGAGGGAAUCGCUUAUGUGAUCCUAGGCUGCUGCUGGUGCCACUGAAUGGGGCAUAUGUUGGCAGCUGCUUUUGCAGUUUUUGUUCACAAAUGUUAAAUACUUGUCCUGCCCAGUCCAUAUUGCUGCUUUUGAGAUGGUUGGGACUGAAGGGUUGGCUAUGUUUGCUUUCAAUUGAAAAUCCCUCGCCAGGCUGACUCAACUAUUGAAGCCAAUAGUUCACUGCAAGUCUUUGAACCCUUAUUACUAUGAAAUCAGGAGUUGUAAGAAUGGCAUAAGUGGGGUUUGAUGUAGUUCCAGGAUCUUCAACCUGGAGUCCUGUCAGGUCAUAAAGAGGAACGCAAACCUUGAGCACUGAGCUACAAAAAGAGGCAACAAAGUGAUCGAAAUUUAAAACAGAUGAAGGUAGCAAAAAGAAGAAUCACAACUCACAAUUGCCUCUUUCUUUGUGCAUUUUCUUCAGGCUGGGAGUAGUGUGCACAAGGUUAAUGAAACGUUACAGAACAACUUAUUGGAAUUAUUGAGUAGAAGAGCAUGCAACAAGAAAGCAGGAGAGAGGUUACUGACCUGACUGAGCUCUGUGGGUUUCAGCUGACGGGCUGCUACUAGGGCUCAGAGCUUAAUUCGGGGACACUGUUUUGCUUCAGCUGUGUUGGAGCCGAGCUGCUAUACUAUGGACGGCUGAGCCGAGUCAACUUGGGAUGAUUGUUUUGGGAGUGGACAACUUGGGAUGAUUGUUUUGGGAGUGGACGGGAGUUGUUGCCUGACUCAGCUGUGACUGUAAGUAGAGAAGCUGGCAUUUCAUUUCAUUGAUUGGGUCGGCAAUGGCUACCUUCAGUCACGCACUUGGAUGAUGACGGAGGGAGAGCAACAGUAGUUCUAAAUAAAGGAUUGUUGGAUGCAUUGGCACAUGACCGGGGGCAAGGGGCGGCUCUUAAUAAUGCAUGGUCUCAGUCUGUCAUUGUUGGUUUGUGCGAUGUGGCCGGCUUUGCUCGAGUUGGCCGGUGAUGGUGACUCCUCUCCAAGCAUAAUGUAAGGCCGCUCAUUGCCCAGUUGUCGGCUGGAACUCGUCGACCUCGUUGCUGCUGCUAUUGGAUCUUCCCAGCUAUUUUGUUUUAGAUGCUUGUACAUAAAUUCUUAAUUGAGCAGAGCUCCUGCCUUUGUUUCGAAAAAAUAUUUUGUUUUAGAUGCAGACAUAAGCUAUCUGUCUUAAAUGAUGAUGCAUUUUUUCUGUC